ACAAUGAAUUGCUGCUGCUGACCGAUAGGAAGGAGGGUGUUUAAAAUAAGGACUUUGCCACCAUUUCACUUUCCUUCCUCCACCAAAAACAAAACAAAAAAACCAGAGAUUAAGAGAGAGAGAAAUUUUCCGUUUGGUUCUAGGGAAAAAUGGUGGCCGCCAAUUUAUCAUACGAGGAGUCUCGACGGCAGAGGAUGGAGGAAAACAAGAAGAGAAUGGAGGCACUGAAUCUGCCCCAGCUUGCUCAGGCUCUAAAAGCCCCAUCCUUUCCUAAACCCUCUCCUAUGAAGCGAGCAAAGCCCCGGACAGUCGAGAAGCAGAUGGUUGUGGUGAGGAGGUCCUCUCGCGUCGCAAACCUGCCUACCCCUGUUUACAAAGAAAUUGCUGUGGAUCCAUUGAGGAUGCCCAGAAGGCAUUCUACUUCCAAGCAUAGGGAUUUUUCGAACCGGGUAUAUGCUUCAGAUGAAGCAAGAGCUGAGGCGACAGAGAGAGCCGAGGAAUUAGAGUCGGGUUUGGGAUCCGAUCACCCGACCUUUGUGAAACCCAUGCUCCAAUCACAUGUCACUGGUGGAUUCUGGCUGGGUCUUCCAAUCCAUUUCUGCAACAAGAACCUCCCAAAGCGCGAUGAAUCUGUGAUAUUGGUAGAUGAAGAUGGCGACGAGUACCAGAUUGUAUACUUGGCCAAUAAACGAGGACUCAGUGGUGGGUGGAGAGGGUUUGCAAUUGCUCAUGAAUUGGUGGAUGGGGAUGCAUUGGUUUUUCAACUAAUCCGGCCUAAAACAUUCAAGGUGUACAUUAUAAGGGUGGAAAGAACUUAAGAGGGCAACAAGAUUACUAUUGAACUUUUGGCUCAAUGUUGGGGAUUGUUUUGUGAUCUUUCUUGGAGAGAGUGGGAACUUAACGGUCGACUCGCAAGGAGGGUCUUUUAAAUGUAGACUUUGCCACCAUUUUCCUUCCUUCUUCCACUCAAAACUGAAAACAAAAAUCAGAGACAGAGAGAGACAGAAAUAUUUCUGCUUGGUUAUGGGGAAAAUGGUGAUGGCCAAGUCCAAGCUGUCCUACGAGGAGUCUCGUAGGCAGAGAUUGGAGGAAAACAAGAAGAGAAUGGAAGCACUGAAUCUGCCUCAGCUUGCUCAGGCUCUUAAAACCAC